CUCUGGGGCGCUUCGUCGGUGUGGGCACUCUGUGCUCUGUACGUGGACGCCUUUAAUCCUUCCAACCCCCAGAGGUGUCCCCAGAGGUGCCGUUUACAGUUGAGGAAUCUGAGGCUCCGAGAGGCUCGAGAGACAUGAUCAGAUGGUGCUAAAUUUCUCAAACACUUCACCCGGCAUCGCUGGCAUCUGCUUGGCACCCACCCUGGGGGCUCAACGGAAACCCUGCUCACAGAGGGAAGAAGCCCUGCCUCAAAGGCCACAGCACGUGACCAGCCACAGUGGUCCUGGUGUCUGGCUUUCAGACCGAGAGCAAACACCGAGGAAGGGAGCACAGGGGAGGCAGCUCACAUGACCACCUUCCUCCUGAAAAUCAACACCUGAGCCUUCCCGGCUGUUGGCUUCUAUUCCAGAAACCGUCUUCCUUUCCAAGUGCUCUGGUUCCCACAUUCAGACCAUGCACACAGUGGGUCUUUAACACAUGGGUGCUUCUUGGCCCUGCAGAGCCCUGCUUGAUGAAGGGGAGAUGAAAAGCUGAGACCCAGAGGCCAGCUGAGAUGCAGGCAAGCCUGUGGGGAAAUGGCUGUGUCACCUGUGAGACAAAUAUUUUGCCAAGCGCCAGAAAGACCUGUAAUAUGCAGUGAGCACCCGCCCGAAGUCCAAAACGAAGCCAUCUGUUUGGGAAGAGUGCAACCUGGAAACACUGAGGACCCCUAAAGACAUACUGUGUCCCCUCCAUGUGCCGUCACUUUUGUUUUAUAAAUGGUUAAGAAACUUAGCACCUUUUGAUCAUGUCUCUUAAGCCCCUGGGAAUAGAAACCCCCAGAAGACGAAUCCUCCUCUUUAUUAAUAGUUUCCCCAUCUUUGUAAUGGGAGGGCACACCACCCAGGCCUACAGAGGCCUGGUGUCCAGAAGAGCUCCAACCAGAAACCGAGCCAAAUGGGCCCAGCUCUUCCUGACACAGGAGGGAACAGUGACUCAUCUCAGCACAAAGAACUGUCUGCCAGCUGCUGGGACGGUUUCUGGUAACCAAGGGGACACUAGGGAUUCUCAGGUACUGCCCGAGAGACUGGGGAAGGCAGGCACUGGGCUCUGAGAAUGCGCCUGGGCAGCCCACCCUGGUUGGGCAAGAGCAAAGAGAGACCGGAGCUCCUGGACUCUUCAUACAGUGCUCGGCGCCCAGGAGGCUGCCUGGCUCUUCCCCAGAAGACCGGGCAGGGGAGGGAGGAUGAGCCAAGGCAGCCGGGGGUCACAGGAUGCUGGACUGGAGGCCUGGGUUCUGUUCCAGGGGCCAUGUGCCUUUGUGUCUGUGCCCAAGGUUCGUUCUCUGUGAACUGGAGGCAAUCUUUAUCCCCCGCCCCCAUAUGUCCCAGUGGGGUGCCUCAACCACAGAGAGGUGUCUGACAGUCACUGUACGAAUCCACGUAACAACCAUAAGUACCCGCAUGGAACACGCAUCCUGUAACAGCGCUAACAAGCUAACAACACACCUCCUGUAACUGACAAGGACCUGCCUGCCAUGUGUCUGCACUGCCUUGAACACUUGGCCACUGUGUGGGGGGGACUAUUCAUAUUCUCUUACUUAUGAAGACACUGAGGCAGCGAGAGAUUAAGUAAUCGGCCCACAGUGUGAUACUGACAAACGAGAGCUCAGAUGCAAGUGUCCGAUCGCUCUAUCUGGUCUUUUUCUGCUACUAAAAAUGUAAUGCCCCACCAACUCCUGGACCGCGGGAUCCUCCUCUUAUCACCCUAGAAGAUUCCUUCAGUGCUGGACACCACGUGUGCUAAAUGCUUUGUCACUGAUGAGUAAAAGGGCGUUCCUGGAUAUAGUUUCAAGGGGGGACAGCACCGAGACCCCAAAUGGCAGGUUUGGGCCAACGUUCACACCUUCCAGCCCAAAGCUAAAGGCCCCAGCCCCUCUGCUGUCAGCGCAGCCCAGAAGCGGAGCCCGCCCGCAGGGCCAGGGGCGGGGAGAAAAUGAAGAAGCCACUGGCAUCUGGAGGAGCUGAGGACAUGCCACAGGAAAUGAAGACACCCCAGGAAGCCGCGCAGUGCUUUCCUAACGGCACAGAGUUGGGGUUUUCUGCUUCUAAGUAACUUCUAUUGGAGUUCCUGUUUCCUAUGAAAUAAGGACGCUGGAUUUAUAAGCUUUGGAAACCACUGGUCUGGGAAUUUCGGGUUUUCUUAACCUGAUGAAGCCAACGAAGCGGCGGGGCGGUGCUGGGCGUGCAGAUGAAAGGUCUAGCCCCCUCUCUGGGCGACCGGCAGGUGACCGCCGCCGAGACCCCUCGGGCUCUCAGGGCCCGCCCCCACCCCGCGGCUCCCUCCCUCCCUCUCUCCAGCGGAAUUCUGGGCGCGUAGGCCAAAGCGAUCCUCAGGUUCCCGGGGCUCGCGGCCGGAGGCGCCGAGGCUGGAAAGGGGAACGGGCGGCCCUUUCCCUCCCCUACCGCCUCCAGCUCCCCCUCGGUCUUCCCUGCUGGCCUUUCCCUGGAUCCCUCUUCCCUGUUAUGGCCGGUCGGCUCACCUCCUUCCCACCUGGGGUCCACGCUCUCGCUGUCUCCCUACCACCCCCUCUUGCCCCGAGCUCUCGAUCCUCUCGCUUCUGAAAUCCUUCUCGAAAAAAGCAAACGCCCCCACACACUCUGGGGCAACCCGCCCCGCCCGCGCCCCACCC